CCUAACACAUGCAAGUCGAGCGGUAGAGAGAAGCUUGCUUCUCUUGAGAGCGGCGGACGGGUGAGUAAUGCCUAGGAAUCUGCCUGGUAGUGGGGGAUAACGUUCGGAAACGGACGCUAAUACCGCAUACGUCCUACGGGAGAAAGCAGGGGACCUUCGGGCCUUGCGCUAUCAGAUGAGCCUAGGUCGGAUUAGCUAGUUGGUGAGGUAAUGGCUCACCAAGGCGACGAUCCGUAACUGGUCUGAGAGGAUGAUCAGUCACACUGGAACUGAGACACGGUCCAGACUCCUACGGGAGGCAGCAGUGGGGAAUAUUGGACAAUGGGCGAAAGCCUGAUCCAGCCAUGCCGCGUGUGUGAAGAAGGUCUUCGGAUUGUAAAGCACUUUAAGUUGGGAGGAAGGGUUGUAGAUUAAUACUCUGCAAUUUUGACGUUACCGACAGAAUAAGCACCG
rnacentral:rRNA from 1 species